rnacentral:rRNA from 1 species
AUGAACGCUGGCGGCGUGCCUAAUAAAUGCAAGUCGAGCGAACAGACGAGGAGCUUGCUCCUCUGACGUUAGCGGCGGACGGGUGAGUAACACGUGGAUAACCUACCUAUAAGACUGGGAUAACUUCGGGAAACCGGAGCUAAUACCGGAUAAUAUAUUGAACCGCAUGGUUCAAUAGUGAAAGACGGUUUUGCUGUCACUUAUAGAUGGAUCCGCGCCGCAUUAGCUAGUUGGUAAGGUAACGGCUUACCAAGGCAACGAUGCGUAGCCGACCUGAGAGGGUGAUCGGCCACACUGGAACUGAGACACGGUCCAGACUCCUACGGGAGGCAGCAGUAGGGAAUCUUCCGCAAUGGGCGAAAGCCUGACGGAGCAACGCCGCGUGAGUGAUGAAGGUCUUCGGAUCGUAAAACUCUGUUAUUAGGGAAGAACAAAUGUGUAAGUAACUAUGCACGUCUUGACGGUACCUAAUCAGAAAGCCACGGCUAACUACGUG